UACAGAGGUCUCAAGCGUUGUUCGGAUUCAUUGGGCGUAAAGGGUGCGUAGGCGGCGCGGUAAGUCGGGUGUGAAAUCUCGGGGCUUAACUCCGAAACUGCAUUCGAUACUGCCGUGCUUGAGGACUGGAGAGGAGACUGGAAUUUACGGUGUAGCGGUGAAAUGCGUAGAUAUCAGGAGGAACACCGGUGGCGAAGGCGGGUCUCUGGGCCGACACUGACGCUGAGGAGCGAAAGCGUGGGGAGCGAACAGG
rnacentral:rRNA from 1 species